GGGGUUGAUUAGGUGGGACGGUAAUAUUUGCUGUGCCCUGUGCAUCCUGCUGUGGGAUUGAUGCAGCGAAACAGUCAGUUCCAUCUUUCCCAGGUUGUCGUCCAGAAGGCCUUGGAUAUCAUAUUCAGACAGGCCUGUGAGGAAACCGAGGCUCAAAGAGAUGGAGUAUCUUGCACAAGGUCACAGCUAGUGAAUGACAGAGCUGCGGUUUGAACCUGGGCCGGGCUGACUCAGGCUCUGCAGCCUCUUUUUUCCUGAGGAUGUGAAUGCUCCACAUUGAAGACAGGCACCCCCGGGACCCGGAGUCCCACUGGGGUUUCAGUUGCCUGGUAGGAUCAGGACAGGGAAGCUCAGAGAGCUCCGUCCUUUAUACUUGGCUUUCUUUAUGAGUUGUGAAGCUAAAGGUUACUCUGUUAAUUAAAUGGGGGAAGAUAGGGGCUGUUGGAGGAUCGGUGGCAAAAAGACUCCAAUUAAACCUUUAAUGAGUGUAUUAAGCCAUGUAAAUCACACGCCUUUUUUUCCCCUUUGGGAACCUCCAGUUCCCUCGGCGAGCAAAUUGUCGGCGCACCCCACAUCGGCUGGGGCCUCCAGGAAGCGAGGAAGAUGGUGGGUUGAUUCUGCGAGUGCAAAAAGCUGAAUGAUGCCUGCGGGGUUUAAAAAGAGAAAGUAAGGAAGAGUCCCCUCUUCAAGUGCUAGUGUUUUACCAAACGUGACUUCCGGAUUCAACAAGGAGACUAACGGAGGCCUUGCCUUUCCUGAUCUUUCACUAACAGGCUUUGGUUUUCUCUGAAACUUUGAAGGGCUCCCAUCACCCCUAAGCUCUCAGCUGUGUUCUGGGUGGUCUGGAAGCUCUCCCUGUUUCCCCAACACCUGGGUUUAAAUAGCCCUGGGCUGCCUAGAGGGUCUUGGCAGGUUGAAAGGGGAAGAAGUGAUGGUGUUCAGGGCUCCUCAUCUGUAAAUGGGAUGGUGGAGGCCAGGAGCCCUGUGGGUCCGAGACUCUGAUCUAUGUGACCAUUCAUUCGUUCAUUCAGCAAGUCUUCACAGAGCUCCUAUCAUGCUCCCGGCUCCACGCCCCACAAUUUACCUUUGCUGUUUAGUUUGCUCAAACGCCCUUGGAGGUGGAUGUCAUUACCCCACCCCCAUUCUAAAGACGAAGAAACUGAGACUCAGAGAGGGUAGUUACUUACUCAAAGUCACACACAUAAUCUGUUGCAGAGCUGGAAUUUGAACCCAAGUCUAGUUGACUCUGAAGCUUGGGAUCUUCUUCGACCUGGAGUUCGAGAGAAACGACUGAACAUUCUAGGCUGGGCCGGGGCUCAGGAUUCAGUGGGGAGGGGUGUGAGCCCUGGGGCCGGGCUGGGGGCAGAAGCUUCUCUGGCAGACUCUCCAGAGCUGCUGGGCACAGGAGACCGGCCCCACAAAGAGUGCCCAGGAGGUCCACAGCACCUCUGUGCUCCAGCAUCCUCUGUGGGGCUGCUUCUCUACCUCCCCACCCAUCUCCUGCCCGGUCAGGGGGUGCAGACAGAAGGGGCACCGUCCUGAGUGCAGGGACCUUCCCAGAGCUACGGAACAGUCAGGGGCGGCCUUGGCUACAUCGUAAAGGUGGCAAAUGUUGUCUCAGACAAUUCCUGCACCCCCUCAUCUGGGCCCUUUCCUCCCUUUCAUCUGCUCAUAUGCAACCUCAUCCUAACUCUCUGCUGGUCGCUGUCGGAUCUCUGCCUGAUUUAUGCAUUCAAGGCAUGCUUAAAUAAGGCUAAGUGUGCUGGGCACUGUUCUCUAAGCACUUUACCAACGCUAAUUGGUUUAAUCUCUGUAACAACUCCGCUAGGUAGAUAUUCUUAUCCCUGCUUUACGAGUAAGGAAGCUGAGGCCUGGAGAGGCUCACUCACUUCUCCACGGCCACCCAGUGAGGACGCGGCUAAGCUGGGAUUUGAACCCGGAGGAUCUGGCUCCAGCCUCUGUACUCCUGACCACCACCUUGUGCUGAUGUUUCUGGUAACUCCCUGGUGGGGUAUUUUCAUUUCAAAGAAAAGUAAAAAAAAAAAACCACUUUCAGACAUAAAUAGUGAAGGUUUGAUGGGGGGACUGCCAUGCAGUAGGGUUGACGUUUCGGGGCGCAGGCUCCAUGUGCCAUUCUUCACAGCGUACUUUGGACAGGGUGGGGAGAGCAGACCUCACUUAGGGCCAGGCUUCCUUGAGACAAGAAGGGCUCUUUCCUUUAAUUCAUCAUAAAACAGACAUUUCCUGAGCACCUAGUGUAUACUAGGCACUGUGCUGGGGGGUGAGGACUUAAGCGGAGAGAACUCUUCACUUAGGAGUGAGUUAAGAGAGUGUGGGGGACAGAGAAUGGGACACGGUGUGAUGAGGGUUGGGGUGGGGGGUCAGCAGAGCUUGUGGAUAAGAGAACCAGCUUUGGCACCCUUCUUACCUGGGUUCAAUCUAGCUCCACCGUGGACCAACUGAGCCUGAGUUUCCUCAUCUGUAUAGUUGAGAAUGGCAUUAUUUUGUUAUUUAGCUCUCAGUUUUCUUUUAAACCUGGCCCAGCUCUCAGUAAAUGAGAGUUGAAAUGGUGCUGCUGCUGCUGAAAGGCAUGGAUGCUGAUGGAACGUUAUGAUUUUCCAAAGAGAGGAGAGAGUGGAAGGCCAGAUUUCUAGACAGGAGUGGGUAUUCUUAAGUGCCAUGGCAAAGGGUGAGACGAGGUGCCUUAGCACUGGCAAACUCCAUUUAGUAGUUGUCCCAGGAGGCCAUAAAUGUCCAGUUGGCUAGUCCUAAAUUCCCCCUACAUAACUGAGGUGAAUUCCACCUGUCCAAAGAGGACCUGGCUGUCCUCCUUGUCACCUGCCAUAGUCAGAGUCAUAGCUCACUCUUUUGUUGAGGGCUGUUGGUCUUUUGCACUAAAUUGCUCUUUAGAAACACAAGUCCUCUGUCAUUUGACCAGUUGCCCUUCAUUACCAGACCGACCUCUCUCCAUUCUUCCAGACCCAGGGCGAUGUCUCCUUUCUGGAGAAGCUGUCCCUGCCUGGCUUGAGCAGAGCGAGUCUAGCACAGCAUGUCAUCCCUGCAGCUCUGCAGUAGCGCUAUGAUUGUCAGAGUAUACGUGUAACCCUAAUAAGACUAGGGAAGCACAUGGUCCAGUUUUGGAGCAUUGUUGUAUCCAAAGAUUAACAAUCAAAAUUAAAAUUUAAAAGCAACUAAAUUCAAAUGAAGAAGUAACCAAAGUCCACUAUUUACACAUCCUAGAGACACUAAAGAUGCUCAUCACGAUCUAUCACUAUCCUUGGCAAAAGUCCCUUUUCUCUCCUCUCCAAUGUCUUUACGUCCCACAGCUCCUCUGAACCCCUCUCCGUGCCCCAAAUCCCAACUCUCACUACACAUAACGUGCAAGGGUUUUCUAUCUAUUUCCUCCCUCUGUAUUUUCUCUAUUCCUUUGAUAUGUCUAUGGACUUGGCCCCUCUCCUAGCAAGUAAGAAUCUUUUCUGUUUAAGAGAGGGAAGGGGGAAGACCAAGAUGGCAGUGAGGAGUUUCCUCAGCAGGUGGAGGUAAAUAUAAACGCCAGAACAGUUAAAAGUCAACAAAUUCUGGUCCUGGCACUCACCGUCUCCCCUCCUCCUGAUUGUGAGACCCUCACAGGCCCUGGAGAUUCAUCCCUGUAGCCAGGGUUUCCAGAGGUAAUCGGGGAGGCGAAGGGCAGGCAGGCGUAAACGUUUGUCUGCUUUUGAGCCCCUAUUCUCAAGGCUCUGUUUGAGCUCCGGGAUCAAUGGUUUUGGCAAUGAAGGGAAUCAAGGACACGUGCACAGAACAACGAUGUCAAAUCUUCCUUCAGCUAGUCUGAGGCACCAGGGAGCCGUGUUGGUGGCGCCAGAGGGAACAUUCCCACACCUACUGAAGUCUCCAUCCCGCACCUGGUUCUCUUUCAUUUUCCCCUGGUCAAUUAGCACAGCAGGUCUCAACCUGGGUGUGUAGCAGAGUCACCUGGAGGGCUUGUUCAGGCGCCACCCCCAGAGUUUCUGAUUCAUUAGGGCUGAGUGAGGCCUGGGAAUCUGAAUUUUCCCAAGUUCCCAGAUGCUGCUGCUGUUGCUCUGGGGCACCCUUUGAAAACCACUGCAUUCACAGCAGAAAGUCCUCUGUUCUGGACCCCGCUGUCUACUAAUUUGAACUCCUGAAGCAAUUGAAAGCCACUGGGCUAUAGGACGUCUAAAGGCCCUUCUAGUAACCGGAGUACAUUUUCUACCACAUGCCGUCAAUAAUAUUUCCUCCCCUUUCCCACAAGUCUUUAGGGUCUUUCUCCUUCAUUAUAAGACCCCAGAGACGUGGAGGACCAGGAGCUAUUUUGUAUGUGUGUGGCUGGGGUGUUUUUCUUCUGUCUCCUGUAAAUCUCUUCUGGCUUUCCUCCUUCCCGUUGUGUCCUAUUUAUUAUUUAUCAAGAGGCUCUUAGCUCAAUCCCAAGGUGCCCUGAGAGUGGACUAAAGGGUGGGGAGUGGGGAGACUGUUCCUUUCCAUCUGGGUAAGAAGAGGACCAGAGACGGGACCUAUUCUAGAGCACAGCUAUGCUGCUGGGUCUGCCCUGCUUGGCACGUCCUCAUUUUGUGAAGCAUCUUCACAACUGGGAUCUCAUUUUUUGGUACAGCAUGAGACACGAAGGGCAGGUAUUACUAUCAGGAAUGUAAAGAUGAAGAAAUUGAGACUCAGAGAGGUGAAAUCAUCUCCUCAAGGUCGUGUAGCUUGUGACUGUAGACUAGAGUUUGGAAAUGAACCAAAGUAUCUGUUCCAAAACCUUCUUCUGACUUUCUGACACCGAGCUCAGUGCUUGCAAUCAGUCUAUCAAUCAAUCAAUCAGUCUGUCACUCAAUCAACCUCUCAAUCAACCAAUGUUUAUUGAGAGCAUCCUAUCUGGGAGCUGCAUGUUAGGAGAUGAGGUUCAGCGAUGGAGAAACCCUAUACAGUGCCUGCUUUCAGGGAGGCUACAGUCUAGGAGGGAGGCUAGGCAUGAGAGAAGAAUUACCAAUGAGACAAGCAUUCCCAAAGAGGGAUGGGCAGGUGCUGUGAGGCUUACACUACAGGAUUACCCCGCACUCUGGGCUCAGAUAAGGGUUCACUGAGGAAGUGUUCACCAGGCUGAAGCUCUUAUUCAAGGAUGAACAGGGUUGAUUUAGGAGAUGAGGGAAGGGAAAAAGCAUUCCAAGUAGAUGUUACUAUGUAACAUCUGCUGGUAGGGAAGAACAGGGACAUCCUUAGGGAACUGAAAGACCUGUGGGUCUGGAGUGAAAUCAGCCUAGUGUGGAAGCGACUGAGAUGAGGCUGGACAGGGAGGCAGCAGCCAGUCAUGGAGGGUCUUGCAGACCAUCCAAAGGACUCAGAGCAUUUUCCUAAGGGCCGUUCAAAGCCAGUGGAGGGUUUGUGGCAGCGGGGUGAUGUGAUCAGUUUUCCAUCUGUUAUGUGGCUACAGGUCAGAGCAGAGGCAGGGAGACCAGUAAGGAGGCUGUUGUGGGAGUCCAGAUGGGAGGAGGAUGGUGGGCUGGCCUCAGGCGGUGGCAGUAAGGAGGGUGGGCGGGGGAUGGAUUCCAGAGGUAGAUGGUUGGUAUGACUUGGUCUUAAUGGUGUUUGGGAGGUAAGGAGGAGGAGGAGGUAAGGUAACACCCAGGCACUGGGUGCACCUAAUAGGAACUCAGAGAGUGUUUAUGGACCAGAAUGCGUCUAAUGGCACACAAUCCUUGAAUGCUGGGAGCCAAGCCCUGGAGGUGUGGUGUCAAUGUUCUGGGGGGCUGGCACUGUCUUGGAGUUUGCAGUAACUUCCCCCUUCUUCCAUGGUCCCUGCCUGAACUCUAUUCUGUUCAUCUUUGUUGUUGAAAUGCUGUCUGUCUAUUAUUUGCUUUUUAUAAAACCUGUAGUUUUCCUGCCAUCUUUAGAGAAAAAGCACUGCAGGUGAGCCUCAUCAAAACCACUGCGCAGAAAUCUAUCAUGAGAUAAUUAGAAAACUCAGGACACAUGUCUGAGAUGGAAGGCGCUCAUGAAUGAGGUUCUCCGGGGAAUGUGGGCAGAACUUGUUUCCCAGCUCUUUGCACCCAUCAGGACAGCUGAGAAAGGAGGCUGGUGCAAUAGUCGCCUGCUCCUCGCUUUCUGCACUUUGGUUGGUAUGAGGAAGGGACCAUGGCAGGCGAAGCUCCAAGACCUGGUUCUUAGACUAAUGAGAAGAAAUGAUAGAAAUGAACAUUCCAAAUCCUUUUUCAGAACUCUCGGGGAUUAAUAGUUCAUUCAUCAAGUAUAUCUUAGCAAUGCCUUGUACCAGGCUUCGUAAUAGAUGAUUUGGGAAUGACAGAGGUGAGGUAUGGCCCUUGCCUUCUAGUCACUGAGAGUCUGGACAGAUGUGUGUAGGAUGCGACACCUGCCUGGAUUGAGAGUUUCUGCAGAGCAGGGAUCAUUUCUGGUUCAUUCUGUAGCCCCAGAAGCUAGUAUGGGGACUGAGAGUAGGUGUUCAAUAAAUGCCUGUUGAAUGAAAGGAUGGAAGGAUGGUCGAAUGGAUGGAUAGAUAGAUAGAUGGCGUAUUGGUUCGAUGCAUGGAUGAAUGGAUGCUUGGAUGCUCUUUGGGUGCAAGAAAUCCUGAAUGAUAAAAUGUGUCUGUAGAGCACAUUUUGUCAUUCCAGUGACCAAGCUGUAACCCUUAUUUACUCUUAGUCUUGCUGAGUCUCUGUCAUCUCCAACCACUCAGUAUUCACAAAGAUUCUGCUUCAUUUGGCAUUUGAGUCACCAGAUGAGCUUGGCUCAGUUUCCUCUUAGGAUUGAGAAGGAUCUUCCACUUGUUUAUACACUUAAUGAAUAAACCGCCUAUACAUUUAGGAACAAAUAAGUCCACUGUGUUUAAACUGGGAGGAACAUCAGAGGUCAUGCAGUUCAACACCUUCUUCUUAGAAAUGGGGAACAAGUGAGUUGAGUCAGUGUAAGCUCAGUGGAAGACCAUUGGACUGGAAUCAGAAGAAGAUGGGCCUGAAUUUUGUCUCUGCUACUCACCUGGCAAGUUAUGUAAGCUCUUGAGAAUAAUUCCUUCCUCGUCCACCUUCAUCGGUUUGUUGUGGGGGUCAGAUGAAUGAGUGAGGGCUUGAGUAGAGACUUUGCACAGCCCAGUGGCAGUUCUUUCCUAAAAUCAUCGAGUUAGUGGCUGGACAGCAAACACUGAGGCUCAUCUUCCAUCAGGGUCUAGGAUCAUCCACUACAGCACCUGCUUCUUAGAAAUGACAUCAGCCUGCAGGCUUGUUCUGCAGUUUGGACAAAACCAAAAUAUGGGUGAUUUGUAAACCCACCCAAAUGACUGAAAUUAAAAAUAUAAAAAAAUGCCAGGUCUUGGCAAGCAUGUAGAGCAACCAAAAUGCUCACAGACUGCUGGGGGGAGUAGAAAUUGGUGCAAUCCCUUUUGAAAACUGUCAGUGUCACUAAACCUGAAUGUGUACAUAUAGCAUGACUGAGCUAUUCUGCUCCUAUAUGUGCACCCGAGAGAAAUGAAGGCAAAGUCAUGGGCUAGAAUGUUCAUGGCAAGGUUAUUCAUAAUGUCCCAAAACUAAGCAUUAUGCAGAUACCAAUUAAGAGUAGAAUGAAUAAAUUGUAGAAUAUUUAUCUAUUGGACUAUUAUGCACCAAUGAGAAUGAACAAACUGAAGCUACACACAAUAAUAUGGACGAAUCUUGCACACAUAGUGUUGAACAAAAGAAGCCAGACACAAGACUACCUAGGUGUGAUUCCAUUUAUAUAAAGUUCAAAAUAGGCAAAACCAAUCCCUGAUAUUGGGAAUUAGGGCAGUGUUCACCCUUGGGGCAAGGUAGUGGCUAGAAAGGAGCACAAGAGGGCUUCUAGGAGGAGGCCGAUAUCUUAUCUCUUUAUCUGGGUGCUGAUUACAUAGGUGUGUUUGGAUAUUGAAAAUUCAUCGAGCUGUUCACUUGUGUUUGUGCGUUUUUCUGUAUUAUGUUGUGUUUCAGUGAAAAGCUAAGCUAACAAGCACCACAAAACAAAAUUUGAGUGAUCUUCAUGGUGUGUGGUAGGGUGCUUGUGGAGCCUGCCCCCUAUCCCCUCUGCCAUAAUUAGACCCCUGAGGAUGCUCUGCCCCUGAAGGCAUGGCCAGCUGCUCUCCCUGUCCUCAGCCGUGGGAAGCCAGGCCUUGGCUUGGAUGCACGGCUGCUGGUGGAAGGGCUCGUCACCCGCUGGGACUCUGCCUGUUUCCUGCUCUCUACCUCUUCCCGCUCACCCGUCUCCUGCCCCAGGCCCUCCAGCCCUGUCUGGCUGUAUCCCAGCUGGAAACCAUGCUCUGGGUUCUCAGAGAUCAACUUCUGCCUCCUUUGUUCGCCUUAUGCCGUCCAGCUUCCCAUCACACACACAGCUGCUUCCAUGCCAGCCCGGCAUCCAUCAUGGAGGACCAGACCACUUGGAUGAGAGAUGAUGUAAGUCCAAGUUACACACCCACACACACACAUCCACGCAGGGGGACGGGCAGAGACUCCCAGAGCGAGAACUGAAGGGAAGCUCAGAGGUCGUGGAGCUCCGCAUAUCUCCCAAGCAAACCUCGCUUGCCUCCGAUGGGGUGCUCCUACGUGUUGCCUGGAUGACAGUUUAUAAUUUAAUUAUCAAUCUAUUUUGUUGUGUAUUAGGACAGAAUAUAGUCAGUGCAUUAAAUCCUUGAUUUCAUGUAUGUUAUUGCUUAGGAUCAUGUUAAAUUUUUAAAAUCUACUUGAUUUAAAGACAAACAUUAAGUAUUAGUAUAUGUGAUAUCAGGAUAUGGCAGAAAAUCAUGAGGUGGAAGUUUGGGAGACACUAAUCCAGCUCCCUCAGUUCACAAUGGGGAAACUGAGGCCUGAGAUGGGGGGAGGAACAGCAUAAUGAUCCUGACUCCAAACGUUGAUACCACAUGAAGUGCCUUAGGAGAGAGUUUUUCUUAAGAGAGAGAUUUGGCCCAGCAUGGGAGGUUGACAUUAUGGCCAUCAUCCCGUACCACAAAUGAGGGAGCGGAGUCCCUGAGGGGGCAAUGGUGAGAACAUAGGCUUCAAAGCCAGAGCCACCUGGAGUCACAUCCCAGCUCCCCAUUUUCUUCCUGUGUGAUGCCAUACAGGCCACAUAACCUCUCUGAGCUGCAGGUUUCUUAUCUGUAAUGAAAGACCUUAUACCCACAUCACAGGAUUGUUAUAAGGACUGAAAGAGAUGAUCAAGCCCCAGGCCCAUGGUUGGACAGUCUCUGUCCCUAGAGAGAGGAGGGGACUUGCCUAAGGUAGUGGACAGGGUUAGGGCCAGACCUGGAACACAGGGCUCUUCACUCCCAAUCCGUUCUCUUUCCUCUGAGGAGUCAUCUCCCCUCAUCCUGGUUCUGCAAUCCUUGCUCCAGGGGCACAGUGCCAGGUGGGAGAAGAGCAGCGACAUGCUUUACCCUGACCUUUGCUGGGCUGGCCUGACUUUUGAUGGCGAGGGCACCAGUGAUUUUAAGAGGCCUUCGUGAGUGAGCCUGUGGAACAGUGGGCUGGGUCUGGCCAGCCACAUGGGCUGCCAGCCAGAGAGGGAGGCCCCCACUGCCCUGGAGAGCAAUUAGGGGCCACUGCAACAGGAAGAAAUGCCCCUGUGAUGCCAACCCCAGCAGAGGGUGGCCAUCCGUGCGGGGUUCUGGGAUGGAUGGGCGCUGGAGAGCCCCAUUCCCAUCCAACAGGAAACCAUUCACAUGGCCUUUCUGGGACUAAGUGCAAAGGAGGGGCCUGCCUGGCAUUUCAUACAUGCCCGGGAACUGCAGGUGUGGAGACCAGCAGGGUCCCCACGGCAGCAAUUAUGCAGAAGAUUAAAUAGGAAAGAUCUGGCCUCGUAGGAAUUACCCAGAUAGUCCCAGUGUUUGCGAGCAUCUUCCCUUCUCACUCCCCUCUCUCUCUCUCUUCUUCUGCCUGUUCUUUUUCUCCUUCCCUCCCCUCUCCUGUCCUUCAUUGAUUCAUUUCUUCAAUAGGCAGAGCAGCACACCAGGGGCUUGGAGGCAGGGGACCUGUGUUUGAAUCCUGGUCUCCCCUUUUAAUAUCAGGUUGACCCGUUUGAAAGGGCUAUUGUUGUAAGUGGAAAAUGGUUGGAACCAGGGCAAGUUACUUGACCCUUCCGAGCCUCAGUUUCCCCAUCUGUAAUUUCCAUUAUUUCCAAAGGUUGUAAUGUUUACAUUAUAAUUUACGCAGGGUAUUUGGCUCAGUGCCUGACACAGAGUGAAUCCUCUUUUGUAUGUUUUUAAGGGGGGAACGUAGGCAAUUUCAUAUGGUUUAUUAUUUGUGCAGCCUCAGCGAAGUCGCCACCCCAAAUCUCUCUGAGCUUUUGUAUCCUUCACUGUAAAACAGAGACGGUGUCUGCCUCAGAGGGUCAGGUCGUUUAGAGUAGAUGGUCUGAUGUGUGUAAAGUCCUGGUGGUCAGCACCCAACCACUGGGGCCUAUUCUUUUCCAUCCUUCCGUUCAUUUGUUCUACAGCCAUUUCUCGGCUAACGACUGUGUGCCGCGCUCUGUGCGAGGUCCCAGGAACACAGAGGUGAAUGAGAUGUGACUCUUACCUUCGCGAAUUUACUGUCCAGUAGACUUGACAGGCAAGAAGCUUGUGGAUAUUUGAUGUGGUGGGGAAAUAAAUGAAGCUACUGAAUUGCUGGACUGAAUCUUUGGGUUUUGUCUUAAGAGGGAAGAGCAUUUAUUCAGCAUCUACUCUGUGCCAGGUGCAACGUGCACGUUGCCUUAUUUGGCUCUUGACACAAUCCCAUAAGGUAGGUGUUACAUGGGGAUUACGUCAGAGGUGGACGUUGCUUGCUAAUGACUGUCUAACUCCAGUGUUCAUUAUCUUUUUACUUUGCCUGACUACCCCCAGGGAGCAGAGGUUGGGGGGCAGAAGUGACGGGGACCCAAGAGGUAGGUGUCAGCUUGACCUGACUUGCCAUGGGUUUCCUUCCUCUGAGUUACUCCUGUGUCUGCCGAGCUGUCUGGGACCAGGGGAGACUUCUGACAGCUUUCUCCGUCUUGCUGGAGAUGGGCCAUUUGUGGUUCGGAAAUAACUGGGCACUUCCCUAGGGGCCGAAGCUUGAGCUGAGAAUCGUAAAAUAGCAUCAAGUCCAUUUAUAUCUACCUCCCCUCCCCAAAGAUGACAUGUUAAUGGAGGACCCAUAAAGCCACGGAGCCCCCAUUUCCUGUGAAAAGGGGGUGAUCCAAAAUGGAGUUGUAUGCUGCACGGUGACAAACUAAUGCUCUUAGAAUUUUAGCUGUUCAUUGUAUGAGCUGCUUUGGCAGGGACAUUAGACAUGCAGAAUUUUGAGCUCUGGCCUUAUUCAAUUUUUAAUUAAUUUUUGUGUAAUAAGCUAUAAGCACAUUAAUAUAAAUGAGAUACUUUCUGCAGUGUGCUAAUACACAGCUUUAAGGAGCCAUGGGUAUUGUUUUCCCCUUUAUUUGUGUUGAACAAAGACUACUGGUUCUCUAAGUAUUAUUUUCUGAUUCUUGGGAGGUGGGGCUGUAGGAGAGGAAUUAAAUUUUCCCAGCAGGCUUGGGCUGAAAUGUUGCCACAGACAUUUAUUUGAGAGUGAUGAGAAGAGCACUGUGUGUGGCACUCGUCAAAGAUUUGACUUCAGAAAUUAAAGAUUCUUCUGCACUCUAAGAAGUGGUCAAAGGUGGGGGGGGUCCAUAACUAAAUAAGCUUAGAAUUUGGGAUGGGAUUAUUCCAGUGCUUUUAUAAGAAGAUCUAAGCAAGAAUUUCAAAAUAAAAAUAUUUAAAGUAUUUAGGUUAAACUGGAGUAAUUUUGCUGUGUCCAGAUAUUAUGGGAUUUCAUUCUUUCAUCCAUCUGUUCAGUCCUUCAGUCAUCCUGCAGUGAUUUGAGCACCUACUAUGCACAAGGCAUUCUGCUAGGCAUUGUCAGGUACGCAAAUAUGGAAUUCAGCCUGUGUCUAGGAGACUACAGUUCAGUAUGGAAUAUUCCGACAUAACGCAAAAUGAUAAGCAUCAUCAUAGAGGUGCAAAUUCAUGUUAGAAUAGUUCAGUGAAGAGAUUAUUCAUAGAAGAGAGAUUAAGGAGAUGACUUUUGAACUGGACCUUUAAGGAUACACAGAAUUUAGGCACAUGCAGAAGAAAGAAAAAACUGUUCUUGGAGAAGGGAACAGCCAAUCCAUAUCCGAGAAGACUGGGGCUAGAUCACCAGAUCCAAGGAAAAUAACAACAUGCCUUAGAACGGACGUGCCUAUAAUGAUGCUCUUCCCUUCCUCAAGAAUGCCUUUUCCUUCUUCCAGCUGGAUAGGUCCUCUGUGCCCAGCUAGUCUCUCUUUCCUUCCAUCCAAGGUCAGCCUGUGCUAAUUCAACCGGCUUGUCUUACAAGUAAGGAAGUGGAGAGCCAAAGGAUUGGAAGGACUUGUAGCCAGUUGGUUACAGUCUUGACUAGAACUGGAUAUCCUGUGGUUUAGUCUUCUGUGCAUUUUGUGUGGUUCUGACCCAUUAUGUUACAGAGUAGUGGCCACGAAACAGGCCUCCAGCAAUGGGAAGUUUCAGUGCCACUUCCAUUAACUGCUAAACUUGGGAACAGGGAUGGUUCUGGAGAAUGGAGGCUCAUCCAGAAAACCCUUUUGGUUUCAACCCUUGUUAGUUCUGAGUUCUUUUUCAUAUUCUGGUAGAUAGAGUAUAAGACUUAUAUCAAAUCCUUUUCCUGGUGAUUGAGGAUAUUAAAGGACCCCAGGCCUGUAAUGCUGAAUAUCAGUUCUAAUGGCUCUUCAUUGUUGAGUCAAGCCCAAGAUACCUGCUAAAAUUUACUGUCCAAAGCCCCAAGGCGAGACGGUUUUCUUAUCUUUUGUCUUUUUGUUUGGAUGACAGAGGGAAAGAGGGACCGAGAUAGCUUUUGAGUUACUGAGGGCUCUGAUAUGGCAAGGUUUGAAAAACUGAAGUUGCUGUAUUUCAGAGAAAUGCGCUAUUUUGACAACUCCAGCUCAGCGAUUCUGAGCAACGGUGAAAGGAAACAUGAGUUUGGGGAGACUCUGGGAAUGUGGUUUUCUGCAAAAUCUGACAGCUUCCUGCCCACCCUCUCCGUUUCUCAGUGGUUUUAAUCAGUGUUCAGAGCAUCCCACAAAAGCAAUUUGCAUCACAGCUCUAGAAAUAGAGUUGUUUCUUCCCCAAAGAAGGACUCAGAUGGGUCGCAAGGGAGCUUUCUGGAAUGAAGAGGUGCGGCUGGCGGUCUCCAAAGGAGCUGAGCUUUCCCAGCCCGUUGAAUGGCUUUCUUCCCCAUCACUCUUCUCUGGGAAUUUUUGCCAUCACAACCCGAUACUCCAUGAAGGACCCAUGAAGAAAUAAAUCAGGGAUGCUCCUUGGUUACAGAAAAAAUAUUGGCCUUUCACUCUAAUCCCUGGUUUCCAAAGAUAUCCUCUUGCCAAGGAUAACAACGUCUACCCAGAAGUGGUUCCAUUAACGAGGAGGGACAGGUCAGCAAGAAUCCUACUGUCUCUCAUGGCGAACUUGCCAAGAGAGGACUCUGAUUUGGGGAACGGGGAGGGGGAAACCAAAUAGGUCGUAACCAGUAAGAACCUCUUCUCAGUCUCAGCACAAAGUCUUAGCGUUUUCUAUUCUCUAAUGAAUUGAUUGACUCUUCCCCCAACUGCUCUAUCAGCAGGAAAUUCGUGUUGCUCUCGAGGUCCUGUCUGACUCCCCACCUCCAUCACAUUGUCCGGGAACCUGAUGGUUUAUGCAGUUCAGAGUCUGUCAUGCUUUCUCUUCUCAUCAGAGGAAGCAGUGGCAUUCGAGGGGCUCACCACUGCUAUUUCCCUUACUCAGAGCAGCCACCUAAGACUGGUCUUGGCACAUCUUCCCUGGAGAAGAGGAUUAAAGAAAAGCACAGAUUAUACCCCUCACAUGGCACGCUGCGACAGUGUGACUGAGACAUCUCAGCAGCUCACCAGGACACCGUUAGCUUCCAGUUUCCUUUCACUCGUUCAACCAAAAUGACCCAUAGCAAAAUAAGCUGCUCCACCACCCAGACACAAGCCAUGGCUCCUUUGUUCCGCCCCUGCACAUAACUGUCAAAGAAGGUCAAGUCACACGGCUGCUCUGAGUCUGUUUCCUCCCCUACUGAAAGAGGACGGCAAUGCUGUGGGGAAGAAAUGCCAUAAUGCUCCUGGAGCUCUACGGGGCUCCUGGCGUGAAGCUGCAUGUGGCUCCUGGUGUGCGAGGAGCUUGCGAUGGGGCUAGACUUUCUCCUUCUCUCUGCUGCUCCUGCCCUUCUUUCUUUUAGGAAGAAAUAGAAGAGCACGUGCAGCUGGGAUACUGAGGAAUCCCUUUUAGUUUUAGUCAGAGCCUCUGCCUAAUUAUAGGAGAGCAGCAUGUUAGAUGUCAAAUGGGAUCCAGACAAAGUUCUUGUUUCCAUCUUUGGAAUCCAGGUACGAAAAUCCCAACGGAGUCUAGUCAUUCGGACGCAUGAUUAAAAGUCGAUGGUUUCUGGACUGUGGCACAAAACGGUUGUUGUUGCUGUUGAAUUUUCUGGAGGAGGAUUGCAAUGUCCUACAGCCCUGCCAACAGUGUGUAUGAUCAAGGUUUCGGAUAUCUGCUGUUCCCACGCAUGAAAAAUGGCAUCUCAAUCUAAUUUAACGUGCUUUUUUUUUUUUUAAACUAUGAGUGGUGCUGAACAUUUUUUCUAUAUUUAAAAGCCACUUGUAUUGUGUUAUCUGUGAACUGUCAGUUUAUAUCAUUCGCAUAUUUCUUAUUGGGUUGUUGAUCUUUUACUUAUUGAUUUCUGAAAGUCUUUAUAUAUUAGAGAGGUUAUAGCUGUGUAAUAUGAGUUGCAAUUUUUCCCUGUUUGUUGUUUGUCUUUUUGACUUUGUUUACGGUGUUUUUAAUUUUUAUGUAGUCAAAUUUAUCAAUCUUUCCUUUACAACUUCUGGAUCCUAGGUCCAAAUUAGAAAAGCCUUUUAUUAUCUAGAGGUUAUAAAAGAAUUCGCCAAUGAUUUCUUCUUCUAUUAUAAUAGUUUCCUUUUUUUAUAUUUAAAUUUUUGAGAUCUUCCAAGAUUUUAAUAAAACCCAGAGGUCAGAUUUUUUGUUAAAUAUUCCAAUUUUUAAGUUUGGCAACUAAUUCAAAUAACAUUCACACACAUUUUAUUGGCCUAACAAAACACACACAUGGACUAGAUUUGGUCCAUGGGCCUCUGAUUUACAAUCUCUGGUUUGAGACUAGACCAUUGUCCUGCUUGGAAAUGUCAAAUAAUUGGGCAACCAUAAGUGUGUUAUUUGUAAAACGCAUCUUCCUUCCCACAGUCUCUUUCCCAGCAUUUCCCAGUUUGUCUUGAAGCCUCUGUCCUCUUUCUACCAGUGCCUUUGGCCUAGAAGGGGUUGUGUAGUGGCCAGGCCUUCGGUGCUGAGCUCAGAUAUACUGAAAGUUUUUCCAGCUGCAAAUAGGGGCUGAUCCGAUUAGCCAUCCCUGGAAAUUGUCUCUGACACGUUCAAGCCCCUUACUGCCUUGGCUACGUUUAAUUGGUUUUACACCCAAAGAGGUGAGUGCUUGUCCCUGAUCUUACCUACAUGGACACUGAGUUCACAUCUGGAUUACCUGAUUUUAAAAAAACACAGCUCGCAUCCUUCUCUAAGUGCUUUGAGGUCACUGGGGGAGGGGUGAUGCUCCAUGUGAAGUUUCACACCCCAGCUGGCAGCUGAGCCUUGAGCUCUAUUCGCUUUGCUGUGCUCAGGGAAGUCCUGUGUCUUACAGGCAUCUUUCCUCUCUGCCUCUGACAGUCAUCUUCCUGUUGUAAAAAUUUAUAAGCAGACGAUUAGGGUGGAAAAGCAAUGCUGAUGGGCAUGACUGUCAGAUUACGAAACGAGCAGAGAUGUGCAAACUAAUUGUUGGCAAACUCUUCUCCAUGUGACUCUUUCUUCAUCUGUAUCAAGGAAGCUCUUGCCUGAGAACCUUGACUUGUGUGCAGUGUAGUAGGUACUUGGAGGCAAAGUAAGCUGAGAGAGGACUCUCUGCCAGUCUGCUUACAGAGCUGGGGAACUCAGAAUUGGAUGCCCAUAAAAGAGAAAGGUCUUUUGGGAGAUGGGCGCAGGGGAAAAUCCUGAGUGGAUCUCCAUCCUUCUCCAUCCGUUGCACAAGCCCAUGAGCCCCUCUGUGAAGCCUUUCUAGAAUCCCCCAGGCACACUCAGAAUCUUCUGCCUCCCUCGUGGGGUUGGAGUUCAACGAGUACAGAGACGGUGGUUUCCAGGUCCAUAUCCAGCUCCAUCUACAGUUCCUGGCACAGGAUUGGUACUUGGUGAAGGUUUGCUGAAUGAAUGAAAAUUUGUGCCAAUGCAUCCAUUUAUCUGGCGGCUCCUGGCGCUGCCAAGAGGGCCAGGCCUCUGGUCACUUCUCAAUCAAGCAGUCACCAGACCUUCACUGUUGAUUACGGGCGUGCCCCAGGGCUUAUAGAUAAAAGGCUGGGGUGGGGGUCAGAAGAUUUGGGUCCCAAUUUUAACUCUGCCAUUAAGCCACUGGGUGACCUCAGGCAGCUGGACCCCAGCCUCCCUGAACCUCAACUUCGUCGUAUGUAAUGUGAGUAGGCUGGACUGUGGCUGUCCACAGGCUCUUCAGCUCUGCUGUUCUAGAAGUCUGCUGGUUCCGAGUUUCUAGGGAGAGACCCCUACUCAGCGAUGCAGACAUUGGCUGGCACCCCCAAGAGCCAGACACUAUAUGUUGGCAUAUAAAGUGCUUUCAUUCUAAUUGUUGGCACACGUGCUUUCAUUUUAAUUCUCAUAAUACCUCUAGGAGGUGAGUAUUGUUGUCUCCAUUUAACAGACAAGCAGCCUAAGGCUCAGGAAGAUCAAAUUCUGUGACUACGCAACCCGUUUCUCCAGCGGCCUGACCUCAGGAGGGUUCCAUCAGAAAGGCACAUUGCCUUUCUCUCGCCAGUGCUGUCAAUCUCACUUCCCUGUCGCUUAGUGACACUCAUAGUCUCUAGUCCCUUCCAGCCACUAAAAAGAUGAAGCCUCAUCUUGAGUUAUUAGAACAUCUGGUCCAAUUGAACUCGAAAACUUUAAUUGGACUUUCAAUUGAAAACUUCAUCCCUUCCUUUAUCAGCUCCAACCUGGUCUGGAACUCAGGAAGCAACCGUGGGGAAGGAGGGGCACCCUCUGUCCUUUCGUUGUCCUUGCUCCACCUCUCACUCGCCUCCCUCCCUCUCUCUUCCAGUCUGGCUCCUCAGGGUUUUUCAGGGGAGGAGGGAUGGGGCAGAGGCCUCUUCCUGUAGCCGAUGCUCUUGGCACUUCUGGCCUGCCUAUCUGGUUACCUUUGUCAGGGCAGGUUCUCAAAGUGGGCUCUCUCACAGAGUGGCCUGUGUGUCCUCGGAGCCUAUCUGCACUGCCCCAUCCUGGACUGUGCCAGCAGGUGACCCCCCCCCCCCCCAGCUGACCCCUCUCCCCUUGCCCUGCCAUCACGGCAGCUUCAGCCCAUGGGCAUUUGACAUACUCUUUCAAACUCCUGGAGGCCCAUCAAGUUCCCGAGAACUUCCUCACUUCUGUCUGCCCCGUUAACGCCAGGGAAUUGUUUUUACAAAUUUCUGGAACUCAGCGCACAUCAGUUAGGGAGGUGAGAAGCUGGUCCCCCCUCCUGCAUGGAUCCCCAGUCUCUGCAUGGUUCUUCUGGGGCCCCUCAGUUGGCCAAGGAGGAAGAGGGUGGAAACCACCACUGCCCUUCUCCCCCGUCCCGUUCCUCCACGUGUGUCCUCAGGGAGCUCUGCUCAGAGAGCUCCGGCCUCUUACACAGCCUGAACGGGAGGGGGUUGCAGAACCAAAUUUGCCGUCUUUCAGUAGAUGCUGCUGGGAUGCUGUGUCAGGCAGAUCAUGGGCCACUUGUCACCCAUUAUCUUUAGCUUGAAGCUUUAGCCAAGAGUCGGACACAACAGAAAAGCCCCUUCUGUAGCCUGUUAAAUCUUUACAGUGCAUGGCUGCCUUAUUUUAGCUUUAUUGAAGGCAACAUAGAAAUGCAGGUCGAGGGGCAUCUCAUCUCCUGCCUGGAAACUGCCAACAGCCAGUCUCACCCGCUGUCCCUCGGCUCUGGUGGUCUGAUGGUGCCAGGGAUAAGCAGCUCGUCCCUUCAAGGCGUGCUGGACUGGGCCUGUUAAAGCCCAAAGAGGGACAUGGCACAGCGGGCUGUUGCUUCCGGGAGCAAGGAGGCCAGCAGUCAUGUUUCCAGUGCUUUGCCGAGUUUAAUGACUGCUGGAGCAGCAACAGCAUCCCCACCGGCUUCUAUUUGCCCCGGGAGGAGGCUCGGAGGAUUGUGCGAGCCCUGCAUCCUGAUGCACUGAAAAAUGAGACCAACCACUGAGCACGGAAGCCCGAGAGAGGUCUGCCCUCCACGGUUUGCAAAUUUCAUUUUUUGUUUCAGGAACCAUUGUUCCAAUAAACCCUUACCUGGAAUUCAGUUGUGUUAAACAAUUUUUCUGCCCAAAGUGGGGCUGGGGGUGGGUGCUGACUCCAACCUGCUUGUUCUGCUUCCUUUCUUCACGGUUCUCACAGGGCUCUGAGGAACCUGUGGCACUUACAGGCCGGAGACAAAAAGCUCGGCGUCAGAAGACAGAAUUCGGAUUAAGAGAACUUCCAGGGCUGGGACCUUGAGCAGAAUCUACCAAGAGGAAGCGUAAGAGGCAAAGAUUUACACACCUGGGGCAGGGUGGAGAGUGGCAGCGGCUUAGCAGCAGCUGGAGAAGCACAACUCUGGGAUUCUGCCACAACUGGAGGCUUAGGGUGGAACGUGGCUGUCAAAAGUGCUGAUGAGCUGGAUUCGUGAAUGUGGUUCAGGACAGGGCAAGCCAGAAUGGGCCAUCUUGCUAAAGACGCUUCCGGAGUUCCUUCCGUGCAAAUCGUCACUCCCGAACCCCAUGGCCCACCCUCUCAUCUUUGUCGAUGGGUCAGAGGAGGGUAUUUGAGCUAGUCUCUAGGUGGCCAACACUGAUAGGGCCACCUUCUGCUAGAUCUUUGCACGACUGGGUUGAUGGUGAUUAAGUGAAAAUAUCAAGUUCUCUCCCUGUGGAAGUUCUGAAUUUAAGUCAUUGAGAAUAUUAUGGGAAAAGACCAUGAACUUCGCCCUCACAGAGGGUGCAGGCCGGAGAGGCCAAGAGGCCUCGUGGACUGAAGAGGUGUUAGCGGGGAGUAAGCAGAUGCUGAGAGACGUGGAAGGCACGGCAAGGCAGUUGGCGGGCGGAAUCAGGACCCAGCAAGCGAGCCAGCGAGGUGUCGCUGCAGGGAGAGCUGCCUUCGUUCCUGAGGACCCCACAGUUUUCACAGUAGGUUCUGGGUGUAGUCCAUCCCAGGGUUUCUGUGAGGCCCAAGUUCCUGCUUCCUUGUCUUUGUUUUUGCCUUCCCCGUGAGGAGAACCGCUGCUCUCCUCUGAGAUGACUGUAUUUCAUCAGACGGGCCCAGCUCUCCCGGAACCGUAACGUCCUGAACACACUGGAUGUUGACCCCAUUCCUCCCCAUGUUGCUCACACUUGUGGCCAGCUCCUGGCACUUCAGUUUCCACAGGCCACUGAUGUUCUGAGGAAGGGUCCUAGAGAGUAUGCUGUAAGGAGAGGAGAGGACGUGGGACAGA